rnacentral:rRNA from 1 species
UACAGAGGGUGCAAGCGUUGUUCGGAAUUAUUGGGCGUAAAGGGCGCGUAGGCGGUUCGGCAAGUCUCUAGUGAAAUCUCAGGGCUCAACUCUGAGUCUGCUGGGGAAACUGCCGGGCUUGAGUGUGGGAGAGGAGAGUGGAAUUCCCGGUGUAGCGGUGAAAUGCGUAGAUAUCCGGAGGAAGACCGGUGGCGAAGGCGGUCUGCUGGGCAGUUUCUGACACUGAGGCGCGACAGCGUGGGGAGCAAACAGG